CCUACGGGGGGCUGCAGUGGGGAAUAUUGCACAAUGGGGGGAAGCCCUGAUGCAGCGACGCCGCGUGAGUGAAGAAGUACUUCGUAACGUAAAGCUCUAUUAGCAGGGAAGAAACACUGACCUUACGGUCAGCAGACGGUACCUGAGUAAGAAGCCCCGGCUAAAUACGUGCCAGCCGCCGCGGUAAUACGGAGGGGGCAAGCGUUAUCCGGAUUUACUGGGUGUAAAGGGUGCGUAGACGGUGCGCCAAGUCGGGAGUGAAAUGCCGCAGCUUAACUGCAGAACUGCUUUUGAAACUGGGGGACUAGAGUGCGGUAGGGGUAAGCGGAAUGCCUAGUGUAGCGGUGAAAUGCGUAGAUAUUAGGAGGAACACCGAUGGCGAAGGCGGCUUACUGGACCGUAACUGACGUUGAGGCUCGAAAGCGUGGGGAUCAAACAGGAUUAGAUACCCGAGUAGUC
rnacentral:rRNA from 1 species